AGAGACAGCAGUCGCCGCGGUAAUACGUAGGUCCCGAGCGUUGUCCGGAUUUAUUGGGCGUAAAGGGAGCGCAGGCGGUUUAGUAAGUCUGAAGUUAAAGGCAUUGGCUCAACCAAUGUAUGCUUUGGAAACUGUUAGACUUGAGUGCAGAAGGGGAGAGUGGAAUUCCAUGUGUAGCGGUGAAAUGCGUAGAUAUAUGGAGGAACACCGGUGGCGAAAGCGGCUCUCUGGUCUGUCACUGACGCUGAGGCUCGAAAGCGUGGGUAGCGAACAGGAUUAGAUACCCCAGUAGUCCCUGUCUCUUAUACC
rnacentral:rRNA from 1 species